rnacentral:rRNA from 1 species
UGGGGAAUAUUGCACAAUGGGCGCAAGCCUGAUGCAGCAACGCCGCGUGAGGGACGACGGCCUUCGGGUUGUAAACCUCUUUUAGUAGGGAAGAAGCGAAAGUGACGGUACCUGCAGAAAAAGCACCGGCUAACUACGUGCCAGCAGCCGCGGUAAUACGUAGGGUGCGAGCGUUGUCCGGAAUUAUUGGGCGUAAAGAGCUCGUAGGCGGUCUGUCGCGUCUGCUGUGAAAACCCGAGGCUCAACCUCGGGCCUGCAGUGGGUACGGGCAGACUAGAGUGCGGUAGGGGAGAAUGGAAUUCCUGGUGUAGCGGUGGAAUGCGCAGAUAUCAGGAGGAACACCGAUGGCGAAGGCAGUUCUCUGGGCCGUAACUGACGCUGAGGAGCGAAAGCGUGGGGAGCGAACAGGAUUAGAUACCCUGGUAGUCCACGCCGUAAACGUUGGGCGCUAGAUGUGGGGCACCAUUCCACGGUUUCCGUGUCGCAGCUAACGCAUUAAGCGCCCGCCUGGGGAGUACGGCCGCAAGGC